AGUGAACGCUGGCGGUAGGCCUAACACAUGCAAGUCGAACGGCAGCACAGUAAGAGCUUGCUCUUACGGGUGGCGAGUGACGGACGGGUGAGGAAUACAUCGGAAUCUACUUUUUCGUGGGGGAUAACGUAGGGAAACUUACGCUAAUACCGCAUACGACCUACGGGUGAAAGCAGGGGAUCUUCGGACCUUGCGCGAUUGAAUGAGCCGAUGUCGGAUUAGCUAGUUGGCGGGGUAAAGGCCCACCAAGGCGACGAUCCGUAGCUGGUCUGAGAGGAUGAUCAGCCACACUGGAACUGAGACACGGUCCAGACUCCUACGGGAGGCAGCAGUGGGGAAUAUUGGACAAUGGGCGCAAGCCUGAUCCAGCCAUGCCGCGUGGGUGAAGAAGGCCUUCGGGUUGUAAAGCCCUUUUGUUGGGAAAGAAAAGCAGCAGGUUAAUACCCCGCUGUUCUGACGGUACCCAAAGAAUAAGCACCGGCUAACUUCGUG
rnacentral:rRNA from 1 species